rnacentral:rRNA from 1 species
GCGUAGCCGUAAACCUUGAUAAUAAGCUUACCCCCACAUCCGCCCGGGUACUACAAGUACCAACUUGAAACCCAAAGGACUUGGCGGUGCUUUAGACCCCCCUAGAGGAGCCUGUUCUAGAACUGAUAAUCCCCGUUAAACCUCACCCUCCCUUGUCAUUCCCGCCUAUAUACCGCCGUCGUCAGCUUACCCUGUGAGGGUCUUAUCGUGAGCACAACUGGCACAGCCUUAAACGUCAGGUCGAGGUGUAGUAGAUGGGAGGGGAAGAAAUGGGCUACAUUCGUCUACUGACGAACAACGAAUGAUCUAUUGAAAACAUUUAUCUAAAGGAGGAUUUAGCAGUAAAAAGGAAAUAGAGUGUCCUUUUGAAACUGGCCCUGAAGCGCG